rnacentral:rRNA from 1 species
AGAACGAACGCUGGCGGCAUGCCUAACACAUGCAAGUCGAACGAGGGCCCCGCUUCGGUGGGACCCUAGUGGCGCACGGGUGAGUAACGCGUGGGAACCUGCCCUGUGGUACGGAAUAACUCCGGGAAACUGGAGCUAAUACCGUAUGUGUCCUAUGGGACAAAGAUUUAUCGCCAUGGGAUGGGCCCGCGUAGGAUUAGCUUGUUGGUGGGGUAACGGCCUACCAAGGCAACGAUCCUUAGCUGGUCUGAGAGGAUGAUCAGCCACACUGGGACUGAGACACGGCCCAGACUCCUACGGGAGGCAGCAGUGGGGAAUAUUGGACAAUGGGCGCAAGCCUGAUCCAGCAAUGCCGCGUGAGUGAUGAAGGCCUUCGGUGUAAAGCUCUUUCGCACGCGACGAUGAUGACGGUAGCGUGAGAAGAAGCCCCGGCUAACUUCGUGCCAGCAGCCGC